rnacentral:rRNA from 1 species
AUUGAACGCUGGCGGCAGGCCUAACACAUGCAAGUCGAACGAGUGGCGGACGGGUGAGUAAUGUCUGUGAAACUGCCUGAUGGAGGGGGAUAACUACUGGUCACGGUAGCUAUUAAUGCAUACCAUCAGAUGUGCCCAGAUGGGUUUCGCUAGUUGGUGGGGUAACGGCUCACCAAGGCGACGAUCCCUAGCUGGUCUGAGAGGAGGACCAGGCACCCUGAAACGGAGACACGGUCCAGACUCCUACGGGAGGGAGCAGUGGAGAAAAUUGCACAAUGGGCGCAAGCCUGAUGCAGCCAUGCCGAGUAGAUGAAGGAAGCAUUCGGGUUGUGAAGUACUUUCAGCGGGGAGGAGUUACCCGCAGAAGAAGCACCGGCUAACUCCGUGCCAGCAGCCGCGGUAAUAC